rnacentral:lncRNA from 1 species
GGAGUUGUCAAUAUAACAAGUGGAUAAAACAGCCUCUCCUCUCAAGAAGCUUAUAAACCAGUAGAGGAAAAAUAGCAGCUUCACUAUAUGUGGAAAUAGCAGCUUCACUCUUAGAGUCAAUUGUCAUAAUUCCCUAAACUAGAAAAGAAGAAGGCAAUGAUUCUUACAGGGGUAAUCUGUAAAGGCUUUAUCAGGAAAGAUUUUUGCUAGGCCCCGAAGGAUCGACACUGUUUCAGUAAGUGAAGAUAGAGGAGAGAGCACUCCAGGGAAAGGUGUUGCCAGGAGCAAAGCACCUGUCCGUGACCGUCUAUUGUUUGUGGAAACCCAGACACUGUGGGUCAAUGCUCCCUCUCAGGUUGUUUGCCAGCAGCUAAGGGAAGGUCUAGGUCCUUUCUUCCAGAGCUUCUGUUCAGAUUGUGAUGAAGGGAACCACUUUGGUGACUGAUGGGGCUUAAGAUCUCUCUGCAAGGCUACUUUCAAGUGAAUUUACAAACCAAGGGUGCAAAAUACAGCAGGCUACAGGAAGAAAGAAAGGCACUUUGGCUUCAGGAGAUGUACAGCAAUAGAACUGAGUCAACAGGAGUGAUCAUCAUCCAAGAGAUCAUCAUCUCUUCCUCAUCCUCCCCCUUUUUCUCCUUAUCCUCAUUCUCUUAUCUUCAUUAUCAUUAUGAUCACUGGCUCAUACUGAGAUGCAUGAAAAGGAGAGAAGGAAGGAAAGAAGGAAGGUGCAAGAGAGGAGAGUCUCCUGAAUUGUCCCUGGAUCUGAAUACCAUCCUAGGUGGGGGAUUUAGCCUUUUUCACCAUCCCUACCUCUAUACCUCUGGACUCUUGUUAAGAUCUGUCA